GACGAACGCUGGCGGCGUGCUUAACACAUGCAAGUCGAACGAUGAAGAAGAGAAACGCGAACUUCGGUUCAAAUUUCACUUCGGAUUAGUGGCAGACGGGUGAGUAACGCGUGAGCAACCUACCUCUUACAAAGGGAUAGCCUCGGGAAACCGUGAUUAAUACCAUAUGACACAUUCAUAAGGCAUCUUAAGAAUGUUAAAGCUACGGCGGCAAGAGAUGGGCUCGCGUCCCAUUAGCUAGUUGGUGAGGUAACGGCCCACCAAGGCGACGAUGGGUAACCGGACCGAGAGGGUGAACGGUCACAUUGGAACUGAGACACGGUCCAAACUCCUACGGGAGGCAGCAGUGGGGAAUAUUGCACAAUGGAGGGAACUCUGAUGCAGCGACGCCGCGUGAGCGAUGAAGGAAUUCGUUUCGUAAAGCUCUGUUCUAUGGGAAGAAAAGGACUGUACCAUAGGAGAAAGCCCCGGCUAAAUACGUG
rnacentral:rRNA from 1 species